rnacentral:rRNA from 1 species
GAUGAACGCUGGCGGCGUGCCUAAUACAUGCAAGUCGAGCGGAAAGGUUUCUCACAGUUUGCUUAAGCGAAAGUUUGAGCAAAGCGUGAGAAAUACUCGAGCGGCGGACGGCAGAGUAACGCGUAGGAACGUACCCCAAAGUGAGGGAUAACUGCCCGAAAGGGUAGCUAAUACCGCAUAAUAUCUUCGGAUUAAAGCUUUUAGCGCUUUGGGAGCGGCCUGCGUAUGAUAGCUUGUUGGUAAGGUAAAAGCUUACCAAGGCGACGAUCAUUAGCUGGUCUGAGAGGAUGAUCAGCCUGACUGGGACUGAGAACGGCCCAGACUCCUACGGAGGCAGCAGUAGGGAAUCUUGCGCAAUGGGCGAAAGCCUGACGCAGCGACGCCGCGUGAGGGAUGACGGCCU